CAGGCUUAACACAUGCAAGUCGAGGGGCAGCAUGGUCUUAGCUUGCUAAGGCCGAUGGCGACCGGCGCACGGGUGAGUAACACGUAUCCAACCUGCCGUCUACUCUUGGACAGCCUUCUGAAAGGAAGAUUAAUACAAGAUGGCAUCAUGAGUCCGCAUGUUCACAUGAUUAAAGGUAUUCCGGUAGACGAUGGGGAUGCGUUCCAUUAGAUAGUAGGCGGGGUAACGGCCCACCUAGUCUUCGAUGGAUAGGGGUUCUGAGAGGAAGGUCCCCCACAUUGGAACUGAGACACGGUCCAAACUCCUACGGGAGGCAGCAGUGAGGAAUAUUGGUCAAUGGGCGAGAGCCUGAACCAGCCAAGUAGCGUGAAGGAUGACUGCCCUAUGGGUUGUAAACUUCUUUUAUAAAGGAAUAAAGUCGGGUAUGGAUACCCGUUUGCAUGUACUUUAUGAAUAAGGAUCGGCUAACUCCGUGCCAGCAGCCGCGGUAAUACGGAGGAUCCGAGCGUUAUCCGGAUUUAUUGGGUUUAAAGGGAGCGUAGAUGGAUGUUUAAGUCAGUUGUGAAAGUUUGCGGCUCAACCGUAAAAUUGCAGUUGAUACUGGAUAUCUUGAGUGCAGUUGAGGCAGGCGGAAUUCGUGGUGUAGCGGUGAAAUGCUUAGAUAUCACGAAGAACUCCGAUUGCGAAGGCAGCCUGCUAAGCUGCAACUGACAUUGAGGCUCGAAAGUGUGGGUAUCAAACAGGAUUAGAUACCCUGGUAGUCCACACGGUAAACGAUGAAUACUCGCUGUUUGCGAUAUACAGCAAGCGGCCAAGCGAAAGCGUUAAGUAUUCCACCUGGGGAGUA
rnacentral:rRNA from 1 species